AAUUAUUUUUUCAACUAUAUUGUUCCCUUUACAGUACAAAAGGAUAUAGCUUGUCAUCUCCUGAACUCAAAGGAAAUCACCUACACAAGAAAAGAUGUUUAUACAGGAGUGUGCUAAGUACCACAGUGACUGGGAGAAUUUACCCUGAGCCUGUUAUUUGAAGUAAGAAAAUACCUUCUGAACCUGACCUGAAUUAAGUCUUUUCUCAUCGUUGUAUUCUUUCUUUCUUGAAAUUUAACAUUUGUCCCAGUCAGUGGCUCACACUUGUAGUGCCAACACUGUGGGAAGCCAAGGUGGGAUAAUAGCUUGAGCCCUGGAGUUUGAGACUGGCCUGGGAAAUAAAGUCGGACACCAUCUCUACAAAAAAAUAAAAAAAUUGGCUGGGCCUAGUAGUGCAUUACUGUGGUCCCAGCCACAUGGAAGGCUGAGGCAGGAGGAUCAAUCGCCUGAGUCCAGAAGAUUGAGGCUACAAUAAGCUAUGCUGCACCUGCAGGCUAGGUGACAUUGCGAGACUCUGCCUCAAAAAAAAAAAAAAAAAAAAAAAUUAAAAAAUUAACAUUGUUUCUAGUCUGCAUCCACCACCACAAAACAGAUUUCAAAUUACAGUCUAGUAUUAUAUGCCUAUAGCCUAUGUAAGUUAUUUUAUUCAAAUCAUUUUAUAAUACAUUUAGAAUAUGAUCUGUUAGUUUUAUCUCCCUCUGUUUCAUGACCAGUACCCACUCAAAUUUCAUUUUGAAUUGUAAUCCCCAGGUAUGGAGGAAGAAACCUGGUAGGAAGUGACUGAAUCAUGGGGGCGGUUUCCACCAUGCUGUUCUUGCGAUAGUGAGUGAGUUCUCACGAGAUCUGAUGGUUUUAUAACUAUUUGACGGUUCCUCCUUCACACACACACACGCACGCACACGCGCGCCCACGCACACACACAAACACACGCUCUCCUACUGCCUUGAGAAGAAGGGGCCUGCUUCCCCUUCCACCAUGAUUUAAGUUUCCCGAGGCCUCCCCAGCCAUGCGGAACUAAGUAGAAACCAAAUAAGAGUAAGGUUAAGCCACUUCUGAGGGCUACAAAGCAAAAAGUGCCAGAGGUAAGUUUUAAAACCAAGAAUGGUAUAUUCACAGUUCGUAUUUUUAAUAAAGCCAAAAUAACCAUGACUUGACUGUAAUUUUAAUUGUUUUAAUGAUCUUAUAAUUAUUACAGAAAAUUAUUUUAUUUUUUCAAUUAUCAGAUUUAUACUUGUUCACAUUUGUACAUAACUAAAAUUAUAAUAUGCAUUAAAAUAGAUGUAUAUAUUUAAUUUAGCCUUUCUUUUCUUGAAGAGCUAUAAUUAAAUGUGUAGUAAAUCUUACAUUACAUGACAUUUUGUAAUCAUGACCAGAUGGAAAUCUAUAUUUUCUUGUUUUAGUAAUAAAUGGAACUAGUGAUAGCUAUAUAGAAAAUUUUUUUCAGAUAAUUUUGUUUAGUACCAACUGUAAUUUUAAUACUAAUUUUAAAAUGAAGUAUUCUAUUAAAAUUUGGAAAUUAAAAAAAUCUUUAUAUAGAUUUUCUCUUCAUGUCAUUGUGAACACAUUGCUUGAAAUUAGAAGGUAUUAUGUCUUAAAUUAAAAUUCAAUCAAAACAGUAAACCCAUUCAUUUCAAUUGAUUAACCUCAUUUCAUUAACCAAUAGCUCUAUCCUCU
rnacentral:lncRNA from 1 species